rnacentral:rRNA from 1 species
GAUGAACGCUGGCGGCGUGCCUAAUACAUGCAAGUCGAGCGAACAGACGCGGCUCUUGCUGCUCUCACGUUAGCCGCGGACGGGUGAGAAACACGUGUAUCCCCUACCUAUCUGACUGGGAUAACUUCGGGACACCGGCGCUAAUACCGGAUAAUAUAUUGCACCGCAUGGUUCAAUAGUGAAAGACGGUUUUGCUGUCACUUCUCGCUGGUUCUCCGCCGCUUUGGCUAGUUGGUAAGGUCAAGGCUUACGACGGCGACGAUGCGUAAGCGACCUGCGAGGGGGGUCGGCGACACGGGAACUGAGACAGGGACCAUACGCCUACGGGAGGCAGCAGUAGGGAAUCUGCCGCAGUGGGCGAAAGCCUGACGGAGCAACGCCGCGUGAGUGACGAAGGUCUUCGGAUCGGAAUACUCUGUUAUGAGGGAAGAACAAAUGUGUAAGUAACUAUGCACGGCGUGACGGUACCGAAUCAGAAAGCCACGGCUAACUACGUG